rnacentral:rRNA from 1 species
GAUGAACGCUGGCGGCGUGCCUAAUACAUGCCAGUCGAGCGAACAGACGAGGAGCUUGCUCCUCUGACGUUAGCGGCGGACGGGUGAGUAACACGUGGAUAACCUACCUAUAAGACUGGGAUAACUUCGGGAAACCGGAGCUAAUACCGGAUAAUAUAUUGAACCGCAUGGUUCAAUAGUGAAAGACGGUUUCGCUGUCACUUAUAGAUGGAUCCGCGCCGCAUUAGCUAGUUGGUAAGGUAACGGCUUACCAAGGCAACGAUGUGUAGCCGACCUGAGAGGGUGAUCGGCCACACUGGAACUGAGACACGGUCCAGACUCCUACGGGAGGCAGCAGUAGGGAAUCUUCCGCAAUGGGCGAAAGCCUGACGGAGCAACGCCGCGUGAGUGAUGAAGGUCUUCGGAUCGUAAAACUCUGUUAUUAGGGAAGAACAAAUGUGUAAGUAACUAUGCACGUCUUGACGGUACCUAAUCAGAAAGCCACGGCUAACUACGUG